rnacentral:rRNA from 1 species
AGAGUUUGAUCAUGGCUCAGAUUGAACGCUGGCGGCAGGCCUAACACAUGCAAGUCGAACGGUAACAGGAAGCAGCUUGCUGCUUCGCUGACGAGUGGCGGACGGGUGAGUAAUGUCUGGGAAACUGCCUGAUGGAGGGGGAUAACUACUGGAAACGGUAGCUAAUACCGCAUAACGUCGCAAGACCAAAGAGGGGGACCUUCGGGCCUCUUGCCAUCGGAUGUGCCCAGAUGGGAUUAGCUUGUUGGUGGGGUAACGGCUCACCAAGGCGACGAUCCCUAGCUGGUCUGAGAGGAUGACCAGCCACACUGGAACUGAGACACGGUCCAGACUCCUACGGGAGGCAGCAGUGGGGAAUAUUGCACAAUGGGCGCAAGCCUGAUGCAGCCAUGCCGCGUGUAUGAAGAAGGCCUUCGGGUUGUAAAGUACUUUCAGUAGGGAGGAAGGUGGUUAAGUUAAUACCUUAAUCAUUUGACGUUACCUACAGAAGAAGCACCGGCUAACUCCGUGCCAGCAGCCGCGGUAAUACGGAGGGUGCGAGCGUUAAUCGGAAUUACUGGGCGUAAAGCGCACGCAGGCGGUCUGUCAAGUCGGAUGUGAAAUCCCCGGGCUCAACCUGGGAACUGCAUCUGAUACUGGCAAGCUUGAGUCUCGUAGAGGGGGGUAGAAUUCCAGGUGUAGCGGUGAAAUGCGUAGAGAUCUGGAGGAAUACCGGUGGCGAAGGCGGCCCCCUGGACAGAUACUGACACUCAGAUGCGAAAGCGUGGGGAGCAAACAGGAUUAGAUACCCUGGUAGUCCACGCCGUAAACGAUGUCGACUUGGAGGUUGUGCCCUUGAGGCGUGGCUUCCGGAGCUAACGCGUUAAGUCGACCGCCUGGGGAGUACGGCCGCAAGGUUAAAACUCAAAUGAAUUGACGGGGGCCCGCACAAGCGGUGGAGCAUGUGGUUUAAUUCGAUGCAACGCGAAGAACCUUACCUGGUCUUGACAUCCACGGAAGUUUUCAGAGAUGAGAAUGUGCCUUCGGGAACCGUGAGACAGGUGCUGCAUGGCUGUCGUCAGCUCGUGUUGUGAAAUGUUGGGUUAAGUCCCGCAACGAGCGCAACCCUUAUCCUUUGUUGCCAGCGGUCCGGCCGGGAACUCAAAGGAGACUGCCAGUGAUAAACUGGAGGAAGGUGGGGAUGACGUCAAGUCAUCAUGGCCCUUACGACCAGGGCUACACACGUGCUACAAUGGCGCAUACAAAGAGAAGCGACCUCGCGAGAGCAAGCGGACCUCAUAAAGUGCGUCGUAGUCCGGAUUGGAGUCUGCAACUCGACUCCAUGAAGUCGGAAUCGCUAGUAAUCGUGGAUCAGAAUGCCACGGUGAAUACGUUCCCGGGCCUUGUACACACCGCCCGUCACACCAUGGGAGUGGG